GUUUGUUAUUCCGAUGGUGCAUUUGCCAUCAAAGGCAAAAGAGGAUACUCUAUCACGCAGAGAUAAACGAGUUGUAGGUAAUGCAAGAUGCUUUGUCUUUCCCAAAAAAGAGUGUCAGCAGCACAUCACAUUCUUAAAAUGAGGAGAUCGCUUCUUCGACUGAUGCUAUUCUGACAGAAGACAUGCCAUUCACUGAGAUAUUUGACACCCAGAAAAUAGCAGAUGAUCCACCAAAUGAACUAUUCACCAGUCCAUCAUUUGUUCCCAGUGAUAUGGCAUCAGAGAAUGACAAUUGCACUCAUUGUGCUAAGUGGGUGGAAGAAAAGCGAAUGCUAUUAAAUACAGUUGAGAGCUUGCAAAAAA